AUGGCUCAGGCUCAUCAUGCCUCGAGCGUCCUCCUCCUCCUCCUCGUGGCCUUCUCGUUCGCCGGCUCCGCCUUUGCCGCCGACGUGGCGGUGCUCGGCCGGAAGGCCGGUAUUGGCGCCGUUGCCGAGGAGGGGCCCGAGCUGAAGGCGGCGCCCGGGAAGUACGCGGUGAUCUUCGACGCGGGCAGCACGGGCACGCGCGUGCACGUCUUCCGGUUCGACAAGAAGAUGGAGCUCAUCGACAUCGGCGACGGCGACGACAUCGAGGUCUUCGCCAAGGUGGAGCCGGGGCUGAGCGCGUACGCCGGACGGCCGCAGGAGGCGGCCAAGUCCAUCGUGCCUCUGCUGGAGAAGGCCAAGAGCACCGUGCCCCGCUGGCUCAUGAAGAAAACGCCCGUUAAACUAGGGGCGACGGCUGGGCUCAGGCUCAUCGGAGACGAGAAAGCAGAGCAAAUUCUUGAAGCAGUGAGGGAUGCUGUCCACAGCCAGAGCAAAUUCCAGUACAACCCUAGUUGGAUCAAUGUCCUCAAGGGGUCUCAGGAAGGGUCUUACCUGUGGGUUGCCCUGAAUUAUCUGCUGGGUAAUCUGGGAGGAGACUACUCCAAGACGGUGGGUGUGAUCGACCUUGGAGGUGGGUCCGUGCAGAUGGCAUAUGCCAUCUCUGCGGAUGCCGCCGCCGCCGCUCCCGGGGUGCCUCAAGGGGACGAUCCAUACGUCACCAAAGAGUAUCUCAAAGGAAGAGAUUACAAUGUCUAUGUUCACAGCUACUUGCACUAUGGCGCAAUGGCUUCUCGGGUAGAGAUCUUCAAGGCCAAGAAUGGUCCAGUGAGCUACUGCAUGCUGCGCGGAUACAAUGGCAAAUACACCUAUAAUGGAGAGCAAUACGACGCCAUAGCGCCUCCGCAAGGAGCGGCAUACGACAAGUGCAGAGAGGACGUCACAAGGGCGCUUAAGAUCAGUGCGCCCUGCCAGGCCAAGAACUGCACCUUCAACGGCGCAUGGAACGGUGGCGGUGGCCCCGGCCAGGCCGACCUCUACGUCACCUCCAGCUUCUACUACAUGGCAUCAGAUGUUGGCUUGAUCGACAGUGAGGCCACAAGUGGGAAGACCACCCCUGCGGCGUUCAGGGCCGCCGCCGAGAAGAUUUGCCCGAUGGGCUUCGUGGAAGCCAAGGCCGCGUACCCCAAGGUGCGAUCCGCCGACGCGCCCUACAUAUGCAUGGAUCUCAUCUACCAGUACUCCUUGCUCGCGGACGGUUUCGGUCUGGAGCCCACCAAGGAAAUCACGGUGGCGCAGAAGGUGAAGCACGGGGAGUACUUCAUCGAAGCCGCGUGGGCGCUCGGAGAAGCCAUUGAGGCCGUCUCGCCGACCAAGCGGCUCAACGAUGCAUGA
rnacentral:rRNA from 1 species